rnacentral:rRNA from 1 species
UGGGGAAUAUUGCACAAUGGGCGCAAGCCUGAUGCAGCCAUGCCGCGUGUAUGAAGAAGGCCUUCGGGUUGUAAAGUACUUUCAGUUGGGAGGAAGGUGGUAAGGUUAAUAACCUUAUCAAUUGACGUUACCGACAGAAGAAGCACCGGCUAACUCCGUGCCAGCAGCCGCGGCAAUACGGAGGGUGCAAGCGUUAAUCGGAAUUACUGGGCGUAAAGCGCACGCAGGCGGUUGAUUGAGUCAGAUGUGAAAUCCCCGGGCUUAACCCGGGAAAUGCAUCUGAUACUGGGCAGCUAGAGUCUUGUAGAGGGGGGUAGAAUUCCAUGUGUAGCGGUGAAAUGCGUAGAGAUGUGGAGGAAUACCGGUGGCGAAGGCGGCCCCCUGGACAAAGACUGACGCUCAGGUGCGAAAGCGUGGGGAGCAAACAGG